rnacentral:rRNA from 1 species
GAUGAACGCUAGCUACAGGCUUAACACAUGCAAGUCGAGGGGAAACGACAUCGAAAGCUUGCUUUUGAUGGGCGUCGACCGGCGCACGGGUGAGUAACGCGUAUCCAACCUGCCCAUCACUUGGGAAUAACCUUGCGAAAGUAAGACUAAUACCCAAUGACAUCCCACGAAGACAUCUGAAUGGGAUUAAGGAUUUAUCGGUGAUGGAUGGGGAUGCGUCUGAUUAGCUUGUUGGCGGGGUAACGGCCCACCAAGGCAACGAUCAGUAGGGGUUCUGAGAGGAAGGUCCCCCACAUUGGAACUGAGACACGGUCCAAACUCCUACGGGAGGCAGCAGUGAGGAAUAUUGGUCAAUGGGCGAGAGCCUGAACCAGCCAAGUAGCGUGCAGGAUGACGGCCCUAUGGGUUGUAAACUGCUUUUAUAAGGGAAUAAAGUGGGUCUCGUGAGACUUUUUGCAUGUACCUUAUGAAUAAGGACCGGCUAAGUCCGUG